rnacentral:rRNA from 1 species
GUGGGGAAUAUUGGGCAAUGGGCGAAAGCCUGACCCAGCAACGCCGCGUGAAGGAAGAAGGUUUUCGGAUCGUAAACUUCUAUCCUUGGUGAAGAUAAUGACGGUAGCCAAGAAGGAAGCCCCGGCUAACUACGUGCCAGCAGCCGCGGUAAUACGUAGGGGGCAAGCGUUGUCCGGAAUGAUUGGGCGUAAAGGGCGCGUAGGCGGCCCGGUAAGUCUGAAGUGAAAGUCCUGCUUUUAAGGUGGGAAUUGCUUUGGAUACUGUCGGGCUUGAGUGCAGGAGAGGUAAGCGGAAUGCCCGGUGUAGCGGUGAAAUGCGUAGAGAUCGGGAGGAACACCAGUGGCGAAGGCGGCUUACUGGACUGUAACUGACGCUGAGGCGCGAAAGUGUGGGAAGCAAACAGGAUUAGAUACCCGGGUAGUCC